rnacentral:rRNA from 1 species
UACAGAGGGGGCAAGCGUUGUUCGGAAUUAUUGGGCGUAAAGCGCGUGUAGGCGGUUUGUUAAGUCUGGUGUGAAAGCCCUGGGCUCAACCUGGGAAGUGCAUUGGAUACUGGCAAACUUGAGUACGGGAGAGGAUAGUGGAAUUUCGAGUGUAGGGGUGAAAUCCGUAGAUAUUCGAAGGAACACCGGUGGCGAAGGCGGCUAUCUGGACCGAUACUGACGCUGAGACGCGAAAGCGUGGGGAGCAAACAGG